GUGCUCGCUUCAGCAGCACAUACACCAAAUUGGAAUGAUUCAGAGAAGAUUAGCAUGGCCCCUGGGCAAGGAUGACCUGAAAAUUCAUGAAGCAUUCCAUAUUUUU